UCCCUGGUAGUAUAUCGGCUAGUACACGCGCCUGUCAUAACACGUGAUGUUCAUCGAGAAACGCGCGAAAGCUGGGUUCGACUCCCAGCCAGGGAG